GAUUUAUAAUCACACACAUCGACUUUCUAUACGGAAUCACGUUUUGUGGCGAAACUGUGACGCCUUCGGCUCUUUUUAUAAAUCAUUUAUCAUCAACACAUGUCGUCAAAGAAAUGGAAAGCUUGUUCCGAGAGCAAUCAACAAGAAAUAUGCCAUCAUCAUAGAUGAAUCUACAGACAUUUCAACAGAAAAACACUUAUGUAUUUUAGUUUGAUUUUUAAGUGACAGGACAAAGGAAGUUGUAACUGGGUUUCUAGGUUUGAUUCCAGUGCAAGAGGCUGCAAGAGAAAACGUAUUCAAUUUGAUUGACAAGGAAAUGAAAAGUUGUGGCCAGAGUCUUGGAAAUUGCAUUGGUUUUGCAUCUAAUGGUGCAUCAGACAUGGUUGGAUGCAUCAAUUCUGUGUGGUCUAGACUAAAAGAUGUCUCCUUUCGGUGUAAACCCUUCAUCUGCUUGGUGGCUUCUGCAUGGAAAAGUUUUGAUGAACUGGGAAGAGCUAAAGGGUUAUUUCACUUCUGCUGAACUAGCCCAAUCAAAGUUUGGUACAAAAUUCAAAGCAAGACGCCUAAAGGAAAUGUUGUCAUUCAGACUACAAAAACUAUUUGUUCUUUGAGUUUGCAACACCUGUUGUGCAUGAAUUUGAAAGACUGAACAGCCUUUUUCAGCAAACCAAAGCUGAUACUUAUGAAUUUUACCAACAAGUAUUCUUACACCAGAAGAGUCUUCAGUGCAGACUGUAUGAUGCCAAAAGACAGAAAAAAAAUAUUGAUGAAGUUGAUUUUGGUAUCAAAUUCUUAACAGCAUGUAGUAAGGUCCUACAGCAGAACAUUGGCCCAUCUAGAAAUAAAAAAUGUCAAAGAAAGAUGUAUGUCUAUGCUAGAAGAAGCUCUCAGUCAAGUUACAUGUAGACUUUCAUCAACGAGAGAUACAUUUGAAAGUUUAUCAAAAUUGAGCCCUGUGAUAUUUUUAAAUCAAGACUCAAGGCCCAUGUUUUCCGAGUUACCCUUUAUACACCUUGCAGGAAACAACGUCGGCAUUAUUGAAGAACAAUACAGAAAAAUGCCUUUUGUCGACUGGAACGAAGAAGCUCCAUUUAAGAAAGACGGACUCCCGACAGACACUGAACAGUUUUGGAUUGGUGUACUUCACCAUCAGGCAUUUAAAGAGGUUGCCACCUUUGCCCUUACUUGCCUAACUACCCCUGUCAGCAAUGCUGUAGUUGUGAGGAUAUUUUCUCUUGCAUGCUCUGGUAAAACAAAGGCAAGAAACAGAAUGCAGCUGAAUCUUCUUGAUGCUACGGUGAGAAUCAGGGCAAAAUUAUUGAUUUCAGGAAUGUGUUGCAAAGACUUCACUGCAUCUCCAGAAAUGCUAAAAAACUUCACAUCGGACAAGGUUUAUGCUGCACGUUCCACUCAUUCCUGUGAAGAGAAUAGUGAUGACCUGGAUCUGGAGCUUUUCAUGUGAUAACAACCAGACUGUUAGAGCAUUGGGAAGCUUUUCAAAGCCAACAGAGGCAACUAAAAGAAGACAAAAAGAUGGAAUACAAAGGUCAGCUCCAUCUUGGGUACUGGCCUACAAAGGACCCAGGACAUCUUCAGGGAGUGGUGUCUCAGAAAGGCAGUGUCCAUUAUUAAGCCCUUUUCUCACUGUUACCAUCAGGUAGGAGGUACAGAAGCCUGAAGGCAUACACUCAGUGAUUCAGGAACGGCUUCUUCCCCUCUGCCAUCCAAUUCCUAAAUGGACAUUGAAUCUUUAGACAACACUUUUUAAAAAAUAUACAGUAUUGCUCUUUUUGCACAUUUUAUAUAGUCUAUUCAAUAUGCAUAAUUGAUUUAGUUAUUUAUUAUUAACUUUUUUCUCUCUGCUAGAUUAUGUAUUGUAUUGAACUGCUGCUGCUAAGUUAACAAGUUUAAUGUCACAUGGCAGUGAUAAUAAACCUGAUUCUGAAAAGUUACUUCAGAUAUAUAAAGAGAGGCAAGAGUAGAUUUUGGACUGCUGUAAAACGACGCUGGAGAGGUAGGAUGUGAGGAGUCGGAUAUAGUGGAUGAAAUGAAUAAGUAUUUUGCACCAGUCUUCACUGUGGAAGACACUGACAGUAUGCUGGAAGUUUAAGUGUGUCAGGAGCUGGAGUGAGUGAAGUUGUCAUUGCUAAGGAGAAGGUGCUUGGGAAACAGAAAGGUCUGAAGGUAGAUAAAUCACCUGGACCAGAUUGUCUACACCCCAGGUUUCUAAAAGUGGUGGCAGAGGACAUUGUGGGGGCAAGAGUGAUGAGAAUGAAUAUAUUCUGCUGUGGUUCCGGAGGGCUGGAAAAUUGCAAAAUUCACUCCACUAUUCAAGAAGGAGAAAGGAAAUUAUCAGCCAGUUAGUCUGACCGCAGUGGUUGGCAAGAUAUCAGUGGCAAUUGUUCAGGAUGUGGUUAAGGACUCGAAAGCACAUGAUAAAAUAGGCCGUAGUCAACCUGCUUUCCUUAAGAGAAAAUCUUGCCUGACAAAUCCACUGGAAUUCUUUGCGGAAAUAACAAAUGAGAAUGAGUGGAUGUUGUGUAUUUGGAUUUACAAAGGGCCUUUGACCAGGUGCCACACAUGAGGCUGUUUGACAAGUUGAGAGCCCAUGGUGUUGGAGGAAGGAAUAUAGCACGGAUAGAGCAUUGGCUUAUUGGCAGGAGGCAAAGAGUGGGAAUAAAGGGAGCCUUUUCUGUUUGGCUGCUAUUGGUAUUCCACGGGGUCUGUGUUGGGACCGAUUCUUUUUAUGUUUUACAGUAUGUCAGUGAUUUCAGUGAUGGAAUUAAUGACUUUGUAGCCAGGUUUUCAGACAAUAUGAACAUAGGUGGAGUGGCAGAUGGAACACAGUGUCAAGAACUGUAUGAUCAUGCACUUUGGUAGAAGAAAUAAAAGUGUAGAGUGUUUUCUUAAUGGAGGGAAAUUUAAAAAUCUGAGACACAAAGGGACUUGGGAGUCCUCGUGCAGGAUUCCCCAAAGGUUAAUCUGCAGGUUGUGUUGGUGGAGUGGAAGAAAAAUGCGACGAUAGCAUUUAUUUCAAGAUGACUAGAAUAUAAAUGGAAGGAUGUAAGGUUGAGGCUUUGUAAGGCCCUAGUGGGGCUUCGCUUGGAGUAUUGCGAGAGGUUUACGCCUUUUAUUUAAGAAAAGAUGUGUUGGCAUUGGAGAGGGUUCAUGAUUCUAGGAGUGAAAUGCUUAUCAUGUGAGGAGAGUCUGGUGGCUCUGUGCCUGUUCUUUGUGGAAUUCAGGAUAAUGAGGGGAGAUCUCAAUCAACCUCUCAAAUGUAACAGGCAUCGAUAGAGUGAAUGUGGAGAGGAUGUUUCCACUGGUGGGGGUCUCAGAUCAGAGGAUACAUCCUCAGGACAGAGGGACGUCCAUUUAAAACGGAGAUAAGGAGGAAUUUCUUUAGCCACAGGAGUGAAUCUGUGGAAUUCUUCUCCACAUUGGAGAGGAUGUUUCCACUGGUGGGGGUCUCAGAUCAGAGGACACAUCCUCAGAACAGAGGGACGUCCAUUUAAAAUGGAGAUAAGGAGGAAUUUCUUUAGCCACAGGAGUGAAUCUGUGGAAUUCUUCUCCACAUUGGAGAGGAUGUCUCCACUGGUGGGGGUCUCAGAUCAGAGGACACAUCCUCAGAACAGAGGGAUGUCCAUUUAAAACGGAGAUAAGGAGGAAUUUCUUUAGCCACAGGAGUGAAUCUGUGGAAUUCUUCUCCACAUUGGAGAGGAUGUUUCCACUGGUGGGGGUCUCAGAUCAGAGGAUACAUCCUCAGAACAGAGGGACGUCUAUUUAAAACGGAGAUAAGGAGGAAUUUCUUUAGCCACAGGAGUGAAUCUGUGGAAUUCGUCUCCACAUUGGGUAUAUUUAAGGCAGAGGUUGAUCGAUUCUUGCUGGGUCAGGAAGGCAGGAUAUUAGGGCUGCCUAAUAGUAGGUAUUAGAGAGGGAAAUGAUGAAAGUGGCAGAGCAGACUCGAUGGACCAAAUGGCCUAAUUCUGCCCCGAUAUCUAACGGUCCAAGUCUAUGGCUGGAAAGUCCUGACACGUAAACUAGAUGACACUUGGUCACUGGAUGAUCCAGGUUAGGUGAGUAGGAGUUGGACAGAACCCCCACGUUUGACCAUCACAAGGAGUUAAUCAUAAAGCCCACUCCACCUUUUUAAAUGCCUUAACACCAUAUCACAUCCUGUAUUGUCCAUGGGUGUAGCUGUGUUUCAGAUGCAGCAGUCUAAAAUGAGAAUAUUGGACAAUUAUCAUCGGAGCUACUUACAGGAGUCACCUUCUUAAUGGUGCCCCAAAAGCUAAUGCUUUCAUCACAUGUGUAAAAAAAUAA